rnacentral:tRNA from 1 species
GUUUUUGUAGUUGAAUAACAACAGUGGUUUUUCAAGCCAUCAGUCCUGGUUAGACCCCUGGUAGAAACU